AUGCAAGUCGUCCAGCAAGGGGGGGCACGCUCAUUGCCCUCACCUCUCCUAAAGCGCUUGCCAGAGAAAACCCCGGGGUGGUUUGAGGCCGCGUUCGGCUCCUCCCGGACGCGGUUAUAGAAUCCUCGUACAAAA
rnacentral:snoRNA from 1 species